GCGUGAAGCUGGAAUCGCUNGUAAUCGCGGAUCAGCAUGCCGCGGUGAAUACGUUCCCGGGCCUUGUACACACCGCCCGUCACACCACGAGAGUUUGUAACACCCGAAGUCGGUGAGGUAACCUUUUUGGAGCCAGCCGCCGAAGGUGGGACAGAUGAUUGGGGUGAAGUCGUAACAAGGUAGCCGUAUCGGAAGGUGCGGCUGGAUCACCUCCUUU
rnacentral:rRNA from 1 species